GAUGAACGCUAGCGGCAGGCUUAAUACAUGCAAGUCGUGGGGCAGCAUGAAGUAGCAAUACUUUGAUGGCGACCGGCAAACGGGUGCGGAACACGUACACAACCUUCCUUUUAGUGGGGAAUAGCCCAGAGAAAUUUGGAUUAAUACCCCGUAACAUAGCGAUGAGGCAUCUCAUUGCUAUUAUAGCUUCGGCGCUAGAUGAUGGGUGUGCGUAUGAUUAGAUAGGUGGCGAGGUAACGGCUCACCAAGUCUACGAUCAUUAGCUGAUGUGAGAGCAUGAUCAGCCACACGGGCACUGAGACACGGGCCCGACUCCUACGGGAGGCAGCCGUAAGGAAUAUUGGUCAAUGGACGAAAGUCUGAACCAGCCAUGCCGCGUGAAGGAUUAAGGUCCUCUGGAUUGUAAACUUCUUUUAUAUGGGACGAAAAAAGGUCUUUCUAGAUCACUUGACGGUACCAUAUGAAUAAGCACCGGCUAACUUCGUGCCAGCCGCCGCGGUAAUAC
rnacentral:rRNA from 1 species